UACGUAGGGGGCAAGCGUUGUCCGGAAUCAUUGGGCGUAAAGGGCGCGUAGGUGGCCCGGUCAGUUCGUGGUGAAAGCGCGGGGCUCAACCCUGCGUCGGCCAUGAAUACUGCCGCGGCUGGAGCACUGUAGAGGCAGGCGGAAUUCCGGGGUGUAGCGGUGGAAUGCGUAGAGAUCCGGAAGAACACCGGUGGCGAAGGCGGCCUGCUGGGCGAUGUCGUGACACUGAGGCGCGACAGCGUGGGGAGCAAACAGG
rnacentral:rRNA from 1 species